UGAUGUAGCCUAGUGGUUAGGGUGUAGGGCUGAAGCACAGGCGACCAGGGUUUGAGUCCCUGGUCAG